AAAAUCUUAAAAUUUUGAACAUAUAAAAGGUACUAUAAACAAAAUAAAUGGAAACCACAGAAAAUGUAACAGAUAUCAACCAAAAAAGAAUUAAUAUCCAGAAUAAAUAAAGAACUCUUCCAAUUAAUAAGACAACCCAAGAGAACAAUGGGCAAAAGAUAACACAAAAUCUUUAACUUCACUCAAGGCCACUGUAUGUGCUGCACAUUGCACCAACCCCAUGGUGUGCCUUUCACAAACAUUACGACAUGAACAGUGCCCACAGAGCUGUGCAGUUACCAAACUCUACACUAAAAGCUACAACUUACACUACCCAGUUGGUGGCUCUGUGAAUUGCAGAGGAAAGUAAACUAUGGGAUAUCAAUUCACACUCAUCAAAUUAGCCAAAUUAACAGUUUUGACAUAGAAAAUGACAGGGAGUAUGUGAAGCAUCUGGAUUUCUCAUCAACUGCUGCUGUGAGUGUAAACCAGUACCAUCACACUGGAGAGCAGUUUGUCAAUAUCCAGGAAAGUUGAGAUCCAGAUAGCCCAUGUCCUAAGUAUAUAUCUUAGAAAUAUCCCUACCCAUGUAUGAGUCAUGUAUAAGAGUGAUCACUGCAGCCUUGUUCGAAUGAGCAAAAAAUUGGAAAUCAACUGUCCAUUCAUAGGAGAGUGUCCAUUAACAGGAGAAUGGAGACUUCAUAUGCAGCACAGUCACACAAAGGAAUACUAUACAGCAGUUAAGAUGAAUGACCUUGUGCUACAUAUGUCAAUGUAAAUGAAAAAAGCAAGAUGCAGAAAUAUAUUCAGCAUAUCAUUUCUAUAAAGUUUAACACUUCAAAACAAUUAUAUGUAUUGCAAAUUUAUGUAACAAAAGUAUAAACCAUGGAAUUCAGGAUGAAGGUUACCUAAUGGAGGGAAAGGAAUAGUAGCAGGGAGGGGUAAAUGUGGGAGCUAUCUUUCUAAAACACAACUUCCAUUCCAACACCCUUAUCUCAAAAUAAAUAAAUAAAUAAAUAAAUAAAUAAACAAAUCUCUGAAAUGCUGACUCAGGACUAGAACAUUUCACCUUCACAGGGUAUAUAAAGUCCUCCUCAACAUGCAUCAAGUAUCUCUUCAGCCCCUUCCAUACUUGCCAGCCCAGCCAUGGUGUGAUUUCAUCUUUGACCUUUGCAUAUGGUGAUUCUUUACCUCCAUUAUCCUCAAAACUGUCUCCAUUUGUACCACCAUUUCCCUUUACUUGCCUAAUCCUUCCCCUUCACCUCUGUGCUCAAGUAUAUCUGGGCCCCUUCUCCCAGGUUGGGUAUUUGACUUUAGAGGACAUUGUACCAUCCCACUGCAGAGGCUGUGAUCUGUCUUUCCUAUUGGUCAAUGAAUGAACAACAAGAGGAUGAUCCCCUAUUCUUGUACCUCAAGUGCUUAAUGCAUUGCCUGGAGCUGAGAGUUUACUUAACAAGUGCUAAUGCAAUCUUAAUCCUGCAAGCAGCGCCACAUGGAGGGCAUGAGGCAGGUUUGUGCACCAGGGCACCAAUCCCAAAGGUGGUCCAAGGAUCUCCUUCAAGGAGAAUAUGGAAGAAGGGAGAAAAAAAGAUCCUGGUGGUUGUCAUGUGGGAAGCAAAGCCAUGAGUUCCAUAGGAGGAUCUAUAUAUAGCUCUGUGAUCAACAGCUUUGCUUCCUUGCCUCCUUAGCAGCUGGAGACAGGCUGUUGCUUCCAGAUGUGGGAUGGAGAAGGUGCAUGCGGGCAAACUUACACAUGCCUGGUGUGCAGCAAGAGGCUUCACAAACAUGUGCCCAAUAUGCUUCUCCUGAAGACAAUCUCAUGUUUACUGGCAUAAGCUCUGGAAAUUGGGACUAGCAAAUUGAAGAGAGUCACUUAUGAGCUGAAUGACGGACCAAGGUUGGUGUGUGCUAUGUGCCAGGCACUGUACACGUGGUGGGCAGCCCUUCUCCUACCUACACUGCUCAUGAUCUCAUUCAUCUCAUUCCCACAGCCCAACUGCCAGGGGGUAGUGCUGCUCUCAUUUCAAAGGUGAGCACACACUCUGAUAAUGUAUUUACCUCCCUAAGAUCACACAACCAAUUUACACCCUGGAGUACAAUUCAGUCUCAGGGCGACCGCCAAAAGCCCCUGCGGCCUUGUUUCUCCAGCUCCUGCUGGUCUUUCAGCCCAGCGGGUCCUGCUGUGCUAGGAUGAAGGGCAUUCACAAUGGCGCUGGGUGAGUGAGGAACAAAAGUACAGCCUAAAAAAACCAGCUGAAAAGGCACUCACUGGAGGUCAGAACAGCCCACGAGCGGCAGGAAUAAAAAAGGAAGUUGAUGAGAUCUUGGAGUGGCUGUUGGAAUACACAUGAAGAAGAGCUCUUCUUUGAAGUAUCAGAACCUAAUUCAACAAAAAUGGGCACAGUAGAUUAUGUGCAUCUAUUGUUGGGCAGAGCUUGGGUUGCCCAUGGUAUAAUUUCUCAAAGAUUUCCUGAGAGAUCGCACAGCAAGGUCCCGUUGUUGAACUGAAGAAAGAUGCUGGGAAAGGGCUGUCGUCAGGUUGGUUUCACCACCCAGGGGCCCACCGGGCCUCUCCCUGCGGAGACAGUGAGGGUUUUAAUGUGCUUUUCUUUCUCUUGGCUGCCUGAGCGUACAGCCAUCACUGUUUCCAUUGUGAGUUCUUCUCCUCUGGAGCCAAGCCCAAGUUCAGGGAACAUGUGCUCAAGACACAUUUGGCAGCCUAGCUCCCCGCUUGCAGUGACUUUCUGCCUUCGCCUUUCCCCCCAUCAAGGCACUUUUCUGCACUCGGAGGUUGAAAAGCAAUGCUGAACACACUUAGUUUCUAAAAGCUUGGUUCCUGAUCAUGCUCGCUCAUUGGGGUGAGACACAAAAAGCCCACACCAAAUACAGAACCCAGGUUAUGGAACUCAGAUGAGAAUUAUUUCCAUCCCUUCCUUGUUACAGACAUUAAUUACUGAGGCCAUAUGCUUCUCAAAGCAUCUAUGGGCUCAGUCUCCUGAAGAAAAUUUGUCUUGUAUUAUUUACCCCAUUAAGAAUUUUUAUGAGAAAUCCUACCUUACUGCUGAACAAAACUGAGCAUCCUACUAGCUGGGACCUUAUUUUGUAGAACAGGUCACUGGUUAGAAAUCAGAGAUUAAAUACUUUCCCUACAUCUACACAGGUAGCAGCAGAGUUGGUAUAAGGACAUAAUUACUUGAAUAUCCAGUCCUAUAAGGAGAGAUCUUACAAGUGUAGAGCUAACUAAAGUUUGAAUU